rnacentral:rRNA from 1 species
UACGUAGGGUGCGAGCGUUAAUCGGAAUUACUGGGCGUAAAGCGUGCGCAGGCGGUCUGUUAAGACCGAUGUGAAAUCCCCGGGCUUAACCUGGGAACUGCAUUGGUGACUGGCAGGUUUUGAGUGUGGCAGAGGGAGGUAGAAUUCCACGUGUAGCAGUGAAAUGCGUAGAGAUGUGGAGGAAUACCGAUGGCGAAGGCAGCCUCCUGGGCCAACACUGACGCUCAUGCACGAAAGCGUGGGGAGCAAACAGG